AUUGAACGCUGGCGGCAGGCCUAACACAUGCAAGUCGAGCGGAUGAAGGGAGCUUGCUCCUGGAUUCAGCGGCGGACGGGUGGGUAAUGCCUAGGAAUCUGCCUGGUAGUGGGGGAUAACGUCCGGAAACGGGCGCUAAUACCGCAUACGUCCUGAGGGAGAAAGUGGGGGAUCUUCGGACCUCACGCUAUCAGAUGAGCCUAGGUCGGAUUAGCUAGUUGGUGGGGUAAAGGCCUACCAAGGCGACGAUCCGUAACUGGUCUGAGAGGAUGAUCAGUCACACUGGAACUGAGACACGGUCCAGACUCCUACGGGAGGCAGCAGUGGGGAAUAUUGGACAAUGGGCGAAAGCCUGAUCCAGCCAUGCCGCGUGUGUGAAGAAGGUCUUCGGAUUGUAAAGCACUUUAAGUUGGGAGGAAGGGCAGUAAGUUAAUACCUUGCUGUUUUGACGUUACCAACAGAAUAAGCACCGGCUAACUUCCUG
rnacentral:rRNA from 1 species